rnacentral:rRNA from 1 species
AACCUUUGAAUGUGCAUUGUACCUUCUUGAAAGAGAGGGGUCAUUUAGUUGGAUGCAACAC